rnacentral:ribozyme from 1 species
GGUGACGGCAACCUCGCAAGAGGUUGUAAACCACAAGAGCAGUCCGAAGUCUGC